ensembl:lncRNA
UGUGACUUCAUAGACUAUAGCCUGCCAGGCUCCUCUGUCCAUGGGAUUUCCCAGGCAAGAAUACUGGAGUGGGUAGCCAUGUGCUCCUCCAGGGAAUCUUCCCGACCCAGAGAUCAAACCUGUGCCUCCUGCAGGCAGGCAGAUUGGCAGGCAGAUUCUUUACCACUGAACCACCUGUGGUUGUUGUUCAGUCGCUCAGUAGUGUCCGACUCUUUGCGACCGCAUGGACUGCAGCACGCCAGACUUACCUGUCCUUCACCGUCUCCCGGAGCUUGCUGAAACUCAUGUCCGUUGAGUCGGUGCUGCCAUCCAACCAUCUCAUCCCCUGUCACCCCCUUCUCCCGGCCUCAGUCUUUCCCAGCAUCAGGGGCUUUUCCAAUGAGUCGGCUCUUUGCAUCAAGUGGCCAAAGUGCCACCUGGGAAACCUGCAGGUAGCAGAUGCCUAUAGGUCCCCAAAGAUGCUGUGUUUCCUCUUCCACUUGCUAAUUUUCUAGAUGCCCUGGUGGUAAAGUACUGGUUCAACUUCUCCAGGGAUCAAAUAUUCCUCAGUCCUAGGAUUUGCUAUAUUUAAACCCUGAGGAGAUUGAAGCUUUUCCCUUGGAGAAAAAGCUCAGGAGAUGAAUGAUUCACUCUUUCCAAUGAACCGUGGCCUCCCUGUGAUUUUUCUUGUUGCUUCCACUAACUUUGCUAUUCCCUCUUAUUCACUGCUUCCUGUGUUUCCUAGUCUCCAUGAUAGCUAAAUUGUUCAAGAGCAGCAGGCAAGGCUCCUUGCAGUGAUGAGAAUCUUGCCAGCUGGGGAACUUCAAGAGAACUUGGUUGUUUGAAUAACAAAUACUUACUUGACAGUCGUCUAGGAUCAGAGAGACACACGAUAGCAGAGACUGCUGGUUUGCCUUCCUCAAUAUCUACUCUCCAACAUGCCAUAAUAAGAUCACACACAGUGACCCAGAGCAAAUACUCUGUUCUCAGUCCUCCUUGCAGCUGGAUGUGUCCUGUGGCUAAAUUCUGGCCAGUAAGACGGGAAUGGAAGCUUUGUGUGGCAGCUUCCAACAACACUCCCUAAGCUCUUCCCAGGACGGACUUCUGCCACAGGGAUGAGGAAGAGGAUCUCAGAAGACUGAGGCUGAACCUCCUGGGCGCUUUGCCUCUGGAACAAAUGGCAGGAAACAUCCAUUCAACAGGCUGCUCAUCCCUUACAUUGAUCUCAAUGAGGUUCUGCCAAUUAGUGUAUUUUGUAAAAGAUCAAGAACCUAGCAACAAGGGGCUUGUGAUCGAUAUCAGGGCUUUUGUUCUAAGCAGCCACUUAUCUCAGUAAUUCUCGCUGAGAGUCCGUUGAAACAAGAGUUUCAGUUUUAUUGGAAUGGCUUAUAAUUUGUGCAUUAUUUUUAAAAGAAGAGACACACACGAGCUGGCCGAUUUCUCCCUCUCACAAUUACCUUGGAACCUCUUCUUUUUCUUUAAAAGAUCAAAAAUUGUAACAGGAAAUAGGAUUAAAUGAAUAAAUUCCAAGGCACUGAGAAGACACUGACACCACUUUUGAGUAAUCUGGCCCGACUUUCAGCGCUUGUAAUGAGUGUGUGCCCUC